rnacentral:tRNA from 2 species
GCGAAGGUGGCGGAAUUGGCAGACGCGCUGGCCUUAGGAGCCAGUGCCUUCGGGCGUGCGGGUUCGAAUCCCGCCCUUCGCACCA